AGGAGGUUCAAAUUGUAAUUUGUCAACUGCAAAAUAUAUAACAGAUUUUCAGCAAUGGGCAUGAUUUUGUCCAUAACUGGAAAAUAAAAAUUAUUCAGAAAUUACAAACCAAGGGAAUUCCAUCGAAACCAGAAAAGCAACCCCUAUUUUAAAAGUAUUCUGAUAUGUUGAAGUAUGUAGCCUUAGUCUGAAAUUUUAUUAUUCUACAAAACAUACAAGAACACGCAGCACAACCCUCCAAAACCACCAAUGGAAAAUGUAAACCAAACACAUACAAUUUAUUUCUGAAGCUGUCCGUUCAGCUCUGGCAUUCCUGUUUGUAGAUCUAAUGGUAUGACGAAUGAUUGCAUGGGGCUGUGAAUAUAAGCAUAAUAUAUAUACUUUAACAAAUUUCAAUGAGAAAGUUAAAAGGUCAAACUUUCUUAUCAUUUAUUGAUAAAUAUGAAUAUCUACUAGUAAAUUAUAGGAUAAACAUAAAACAAAUACAAUGAACGCUACAAUA
ensembl:lncRNA novel transcript